rnacentral:rRNA from 1 species
GACGAACGCUGGCGGCAUGCCUAAUACAUGCAAGUCGAGCGAACAGAUGAAGUGCUUGCACUUCUGACGUUAGCGGCGAACGGGUGAGUAACACGUAAGGAAUCUACCUAUAAGCGGGGGAUAACAUUCGGAAACGGGUGCUAAUACCGCAUAAUAUCUUCUUCCGCAUGGAAGAAGAUUGAAAGACGGCUCUGCUGUCACCUAUAGAUGACCUUGCGGUGCAUUAGUUAGUUGGUGGGGUAACGGCCUACCAAGACGAUGAUGCAUAGCCGACAUGAGAGGGUGAUCGGCCACAUUGGGACUGAGACACGGCCCAAACUCCUACGGGAGGCAGCAGUAGGGAAUCUUCCGCAAUGGGCGAAAGCCUGACGGAGCAAUGCCGCGUGAGUGAAGAAGGCCUUCGGGUCGUAAGACUCUGUUAUAAGAGAAGAACAAAUUGUAGAGUAACUGCUACAGUCUUGACGGUAUCUUAUCAGAAAGCCACGGCUAACUACGUGCCAGCCGCCGCCGUAA